rnacentral:rRNA from 1 species
AUUGAACGCUGGCGGCAUGCCUUACACAUGCAAGUCGAACGGCAGCACGGGUGCUUGCACCUGGUGGCGAGUGGCGGACGGGUGAGUAAUACAUCGGCACAUGUCCUGUAGUGGGGGAUAGCCCGGAGAAAGCCGGAUUAAUACCGCAUCCGCACUACGGAUGAGAGCGGGGGACCUUCGGGCCUCGCGCUAUAGGGUUGGCCGAUGGCGGAUUAGCUAGUUGGUGGGGUAAAGGCCUACCAAGGCGACGAUCAGUAGCUGGUCUGAGAGGACGACCAGCCACACUGGGACUGAGACACGGCCCAGACUCCUACGGGAGGCAGCAGUGGGGAAUUUUGGACAAUGGGCGAAAGCCUGAUCCAGCAAUGCCGCGUGUGUGAAGAAGGCCUUCGGAUUGUAAAGCACUUUUGUCCGGAAAGAAAACCUUGGCUCUAAUACAGUCGGGGGAUGACGGUACCGGAAGAAUAAGCACCGGCUAACUACGUG